UACAGAGGGUGCGAGCGUUGUCCGGAAUCACUGGGCGUAAAGCGCACGUAGGCGGGUCGUUAAGUCGGGGGUGAAAUCCUGGAGCUCAACUCCAGAACUGCCUUCGAUACUGGCGACCUUGAGUCCGGGAGAGGUGAGUGGAACUCCGAGUGUAGAGGUGAAAUUCGUAGAUAUUCGGAAGAACACCAGUGGCGAAGGCGGCUCACUGGCCCGGUACUGACGCUGAGGUGCGAAAGCGUGGGGAGCAAACAGG
rnacentral:rRNA from 1 species